rnacentral:misc_RNA from 1 species
GAUGAAGAACGUAGUGAAAUGCGAUAAGUAAUGCGAAUUGCAGAAUUCCGUGAGUCAUCGAAUCUUUGAACGCACAUUGCGCCCUUUGGCAUUCCGAAGGGCAUGCCUGUUCGAGCGUCAUUUAUCAACCCUCAAGCCCGGCUUGCGGUUGGGUCCCGCCGUGGGCGACCACGGCGGACCCGAAAGGUAAUGGCGGUGCCCGUGGGGCCCUGGACGCAGCGAGCUUCUCGGCACGCGUCCCGGCGGUCCCCGGCGCCGUCUCCACCAAUCCACCACGCAGAUUGACCUCGGAUCAGGUAGGGAUACCCGCUGAACUUAAGCAUAUCAAUAAGCGGAGGA